UUGAGGAAUGACAAGGACCCAUUAUGACGAGAUGAAAGGAAAGGGGUUUACAAAUACCCAUACUUGAUAAUGACUUGAAUGAAUCAUCUGCAUAUAUAGGGGUAAUAACUAGAACGAUAAGCGAAAGAAUGCAGGAACAUAAAAGGGAUGUAAGACAAGGAAACCUAAACACCAUGCUAGCUGUUAAAACGUACAGCCAAAAUAUCAACGUAGACUGGGAGAACGUAAGACAAAUUAGACCACUUCGAAACCAAGAACAGCUGGUAAUGGCAGAAUCCUUAGAAAUAUUAAAAAGAGUGUGUAAAGAAAGAUUAAUCAACGAUAGACUAACUUGGAAGCCCCCCGCAAGCUUGGAAGUAUGUUAUAAGCACUUAUAGAAGGAUGUAUGAUAUGCGAGGAUAUAAUAGUAGGACAAGUACGAUAGGUGAUCAGAGUGAUAUGGACAGAAGUUGAUAAAUUUAAUACCAUAAUCUAAAC
rnacentral:lncRNA from 1 species